rnacentral:rRNA from 1 species
GAUGAACGCCGGCGGUGUGCCUAAUACAUGCAAGUCGUACGCACUGGCCCAACUGAUUGAUGGUGCUUGCACCUGAUUGACGAUGGAUCACCAGUGAGUGGCGGACGGGUGAGUAACACGUAGGUAACCUGCCCCGGAGCGGGGGAUAACAUUUGGAAACAGAUGCUAAUACCGCAUAACAACAAAAACCACAUGGCUUUUGUUUGAAAGAUGGCUUUGGCUAUCACUCUGGGAUGGACCUGCGGUGCAUUAGCUAGUUGGUAAGGUAACGGCUUACCAAGGCAAUGAUGCAUAGCCGAGUUGAGAGACUGAUAGGCCACAAUGGAACUGAGACACGGUCCAUACUCCUACGGGAGGCAGCAGUAGGGAAUCUUCCACAAUGGGCGCAAGCCUGAUGGAGCAACACCGCGUGAGUGAAGAAGGGUUUCGGCUCGUAAAGCUCUGUUGUUGGAGAAGAAUAUGCGUGAGAGUAACUGUUCACGCAGUGACGGUAUCCAACCAGAAAGUCACGGCUAACUAC